rnacentral:lncRNA from 1 species
GUGACUUUGGCCAGGCACCAAUCAUCUGCCUCCUUCUGUGCCUGCCUGGCUGCCCCUACCCUGGGGCUCCCUCCUAGCCCCCACCUCACCUACUGGCUCACUGAGACAGAGCCAAACAUGAAAGGGAAGGUGACGGCCUGGCCAUAGGGCCCAGGAAAAUGCAGGUAUCAUUAACAGCCUGGAGCACUGUGGCCUGUCCACUCUCAACCCUCUGCUGCCCACCCCUUCCUGGAAUAGACCCCAGGCCACAUACAGAGGGGGCAAGCCCAAGCCAGGAUUGAAGGAGAUCCCAUCUUGGGUCUAAAGGAAUGGGGGUGAAGACUGCAUCUUGUCGUUCCAGUUCCACCCCAUUCUGGCAUGGGAAGCAUGUGUGGGCUUCUACUCUAUGGGAGAUUCAUAGCCUCAAUCCUUAAGGAAUUCUCAAUCUGAAAGGAAAACACAAACCCUGACCUCAGGGAGCUCCCAGUUUGACAGUGGAGACAGAGAGGCCCUGCAUCAAGUAGAAAAACAACCCCCACUGCUCUCAAGCACACAGCAAUGAAGAUAUGUAUCCUUGGUGCUACAGAUGCUGACGAUACGACAGUGAAUACAACAUGAAAAAACAAGCACACUUCUCACCCCUAUGGAGCUUUAUUCUGGUCAGGCAGAAGGAGAAGGAAAUGUAAACAUGCAAGGUCAGGUACUGCUGUGAAGCAAAAUAAAGCUGUG